GGACUUACCGCUCAUUGGGAGAGUAUCUGUACCAACAAUCCGAAGAUCCCGGGUUCGAAUCCCGGUCAAUCUA